CCUACGGGAGGCAGCAGUGAGGAAUAUUGGUCAAUGGACGCAAGUCUGAACCAGCCAAGUAGCGUGCAGGAUGACGGCCCUCCGGGUUGUAAACUGCUUUUAGUUGGGAAUAAAAGGGGGCUCGUGAGCCCCGUAUUGUAUGUACCAUCAGAAAAAGGACCGGCUAAUUCUGUGCGAGCAGCCGCGGUAAUACGGAAGAUCCGGGCGUUAUCCGGAUUUAUUGGGUUUAAGGGGAGCGUAGGCCGGAUUUUAAUGCAGCUGUGAAAUUCCGCGGCUCAACCGUGGAAUUGCAGUUGAAACUGGAGGUCUUGAGUGCACACAGGGAUGCCGGAAUUCGUGGUGUAGCGGUGAAAUGCUUAGAUAUCACGAAGAACUCCGAUUGCGAAGGCAGCUUACUAAACUGCAACUGACAUUGAUGCUCGAAAGUGUGGGUAUCAAACAGGAUUAGAUACCCCUGUAGUC
rnacentral:rRNA from 1 species